rfam:Desertifilum sp. IPPAS B-1220 NODE_5_length_178902_cov_33.8927, whole genome shotgun sequence.
CCGAUAGGUGGGCUUAGAAGUAGCCAUCCUUUAAAGAGUGUGUAAUAACUCAUCGG